GACGAACGCUGGCGGCGUGCUUAACACAUGCAAGUCGAACGGAAAGGCCCUGCUUUUGUGGGGUGCUCGAGUGGCGAACGGGUGAGUAACACGUGAGUAACCUGCCCUUGACUUUGGGAUAACUUCAGGAAACUGGGGCUAAUACCGGAUAGGAGCUCCUGCUGCAUGGUGGGGGUUGGAAAGUUUCGGCGGUUGGGGAUGGACUCGCGGCUUAUCAGCUUGUUGGUGGGGUAGUGGCUUACCAAGGCUUUGACGGGUAGCCGGCCUGAGAGGGUGACCGGCCACAUUGGGACUGAGAUACGGCCCAGAGUCCUACGGGCGGCAGCAGUGGGGAAUAGUGCACAAUGGGCGGAAGCCUGAUGCAGCAACGCCGCGUGCGGGAUGACGGCCUUCGGGUUGUAAACCGCUUUCGCCUGUGACGAAGCGUGAGUGACGGUAAUGGGUAAAGAAGCACCGGCUAACUACGU
rnacentral:rRNA from 1 species